rnacentral:rRNA from 1 species
GACAGAGGGUGCAAACGUUGUUCGGAAUUACUGGGCGUAAAGCGCGUGUAGGCUGCUCGGAAAGUCAGGUGUGAAAGCCCUGGGCUCAACCUAGGAAGUGCACUUGAAACUUCCGAGCUGGAGAUCUGGAGAGGAAGGCGGAAUUCUCGGUGUAGAGGUGAAAUUCGUAGAUAUCUGGAGGAACACCAGUGGCGAAGGCGGGCAUCUGGGCCAACACUGACGCUGAGGCGCGAAAGCUAGGGGAGCAAACAGG